CAAACAGACAAACAUACAGCAUCAAUAUCCCAGUCAUUCAAUCCAUAAUCGGUAAAACAGUAGAAUAUGCACACGAAACUAUAAAAUAAAAACAUCAAACCUCAUACUGCUUUUAAACUGUAAAACAUGGUAAAUAACAAUUAACCGACAACCACACUAGACUCGGGCUCCAUUAGCGACCUUAAGCAAUUUCACACAUUCGUUGAUUCAUGAAAUACCGUUUUAUCAUUUAUUGAACUUUAAUACAGUGAUAGGAAAUAGGGUGAGGGGUCCUUACUAGUUUCGGGGUCCGAACACGGCUUCACAGUGCGCCUACAGGCUGUCCCUAAUUUUCCCUGAAUUUUUUCCAGGGAACUGAAACGCACUACUGGUACCUGCACGUGUUCCAAAAAAUCCCAAAUUAGGCCCAGGGCCCCUUUUUGGCCAAUAUCGCAAUUCCGGCACGGUGGCUCCGCCGUGCUCCGGCGACACUUGCAUCGAUCCUUGUGAUUAAACAACUCUAGGGCCCUCGGGGGGCCAAAAAUUUACGGAAAACCGAAGCUUACCGGCGGCGGUGCUCUCGGGUGCAGCGGCUCUCCGUUGAAGUUCGUGUUUUGGUGAUUCGGCUCCGAUCAACCUGUAGAGAAAAGAAUGGUGAUUACAGUGAUAUAAAAAUUGCAUUAAACGGAGGCCGGGAAGGGCCUCAUCGGCGGCAAAAACUGAGGAGGGGCGCGGCGCCGCCGCUGGGUUUCGGC
rnacentral:lncRNA from 1 species